UACGAAGGGGGCUAGCGUUGCUCGGAUUCACUGGGCGUAAAGGGUGCGUAGGCGGGUCUUUAAGUCAGGGGUGAAAUCCUGGAGCUCAACUCCAGAACUGCCUUUGAUACUGAAGAUCUUGAGUUCGGGAGAGGUGAGUGGAACUGCGAGUGUAGAGGUGAAAUUCGUAGAUAUUCGCAAGAACACCAGUGGCGAAGGCGGCUCACUGGCCCGAUACUGACGCUGAAGCACGAAAGCGUGGGGAGCAAACAGG
rnacentral:rRNA from 1 species